rnacentral:rRNA from 1 species
ACGGGAGGCAGCAGUGGGGGAUAUUGCACACUGGGGGAAACCCUGAUGCAGCGACGCCGCGUGAGUGAUGAAGUAUUUCGGUAUGUAAAGCUCUAUCAGCAGGAAAGAUAAUGACGGUACCUGACUAAGAAGCACCGGCUAAAUACGUGCCAGCAGCCGCGGUAAUACGUAUGGUGCAAGCGUUAUCCGGAUUUACUGGGUGUAAAGGGAGCGCAGACGGCAUGGCAAGCCAGAUGUGAAAGGCAGGGGCUCAACUACUGGACUGCAUUUGGAACUGUCAAGGUAGAGUAUCGGAGAGGUAAGUGGAAUUCCUAGUGUAGCGGUGAAAUGCGUAGAUAUGAGGAGGAACACCAGUGGCGAAGGCGGCUUACUGGACGAUAACUGACGUUGAGGCUCGAAAGCGUGGGGAGCAAACAGGAUUAGAUACCCUGGUA